AGUCCGAGUCGUAGUGAGUAACAGCGGGGAGCACCGGAGCAGGUCGGUGCUCGCUGCGAGGCCGAGCCCCGGCAGCUGGGACUUGCUGGCCAGGACCCCGUGUCUGCCGGGGUACGCGUUUAAAGAAGCAUGAAGUGGCCUGGACCUGUCCCAAGAUAUGCCAACUCUGGUAUCUGUUCCUGUGCCGAUUCUGUGAUAUGGACAUCUUUCACUGGGACUGAAAUGGUGUAUCCCUAAGUGGCUGAUAAAAGUUAUCCAACACCAUCAGCACAGAAUGCUGAUGAUACUAUCUCUGGAGCGACAUCUGAAGUUAUUAGUUUGGACAUCAAACACCAUCUUGAACUAUUUGGGGUUAAAAACAGGUGUAAGUGAAGCUACUUAUAAAUAACACAUGUUCAAUUUCCUCUGAUAAUACUGACAAAAAUGUCUGUACUACAGUCAACCUCUUUCAGCUAAACUGAUUCAGUUUGUAUUUGACAUCAUAUUGCUGCAGAGACCUAUCAACAAAUAUUUUGAGACCGUGUUUUCAUUGUGAGCAUCCAAAAAGUGAGUUAUGUGGGUAAAGUUUGAGCCAAAUUUUCUGAUGGCAGAAUUCUGUGAGUCAGCUGCAAUUUUUUUUGUUGAAAUGAUUUGCUUCAGAAAAUUCAGUUUGUUCAAAGCACAGUUUUGUCAGGAGAAAUGCUAGUUUACUGAGAAAACAAUAGGUUAUUGACUUCUUAUUUUGAAAUGUGGGAUGAUUAUAUGCGUACAUGUGCAGACAUAUGCACAAUGUGCUAUAAGAUGGAAAACAGCUCAUUUUGAUUAACUCAGUCUCAAAUAUUUCUAUAACUUUAAGUUAAUAAAACAUUAAAGAUUGCUACUUUUUUCUUUUAUAAACAUUCAACAUUCUUUUAGGGUAACCCAUAUAUGAAGCAGUACUGAAGAUAAGCAGUACUGAAGUUUAGGCAAGACUUAGCUGGAAAUCUGUGGAAAGCAUCUUUGAAUGGCCCUAACAGAAGUGCAUUCUUCUAACACUUCUACUUCUAACUGGUCACUGAAACUCUUAUAAUGUAACUCAGCUAGGGACUUUUAUAUUUUGUAUAUACGUAAAUGGGAAAAAGGACAUUGCAAAGGUCAGCUAAGCCCCACUUUCUUAUAAAUAAUUUAGACUUGUAUAAGGAAUGCUCACAAAACCAUUCAGCUUCUAAGCAACCACCAAUAAAAAUACAAAUGUAAGUACAAACUUAGUUCUUUGAAGCUUUACUAAUGUAGACAGCUCUAUCAAAACUACAGAAAACACUCAGAUGAUUCAGGUUGUGCAGGGCCACGACUCAAGAUGGUGAUAUUUUGGGAUGCUCAGAAUAAUAAAUGUGUAUUGCAAGGUGAAAAACAUUCUAAAAUCAGAGGCAGCUUCGUAAUGAUCUAGAAUCUUUGCUAUGAAAUGACACUGAUGAGCAGCAUGCUCAAAAGGUAAAAAAGCCCUCCUACAUUUAUAUGAAACUGUAGUUUCAUAAACUGUAUUUUAGUUACAUAAUAACAUGAGGCACAACCUAAUGAGCACAUUGAAAUCUGAGAUGAUGUUAUAAUUUAGUUACAAUUUAGGAUUAUAUGUUACAAAACACCUCUUUCACUGCUCCUGGUAGACAGUUGCAGCUGUGAGUUUUUAUUCCUUUUGAAAAUUAUGUGCAGGUGAUAGGUACUGGAACUAAAGAAUAAAACAAAGAGACUCCAAAAAACCAAGUCUGAGAAAUUUGCCAGUCAUCAUAUAGGAAAUGGCAGCAGAAUUAGGACUUUUGAAAUGUAAGUUUUCAAAGAGUAGGGAAGCAUCAUAACAAGACAGUCAUCUCUCUCCUCCAUUCCUCUGUUACAGAGAUUCUUAUUUUUCGUUUCCUGCAUAAUAUAAUAGACCCAUUUUGUCAUUGUGGUGGGUAGCACUCCCUGCUUGUUACACACCGUGGGAUUUGGAUCUAUUAUUUUAUCCAUGACAGAUAAUAAUCUAGGCCAUGUCUAUACAAGAAAAUGUUGAACUGGUUUUAAAGGAAUGAUUAUAAGCCAGAUGCACUUAAAACAGUUUGCCACCUCCUUAAAUUGUUUUUGUAAUUUACAAAAUUCAGCUAAACUGAUUGAGGAGAUAGUAAAGUCAAUUUAAGUCACCUAGUUUAGGGAGCUGCACCUGCAACUUUUCCCUCUAGACAAGGCCUUGCCUAGUAAGUAGGAGGAUCAAUGGCAGGUUAAUGCAAGUGGCAAUGUAAGAAGCUGGAAAAAACAGACUUAUUAUUAUUUGUGUGCGCUAUUUUGUAAACUAUUCAGGCAGGAAUUUUGUCUUCAUGGAUAUCUGUAAAGUGACAGCUAACACUCUUACGAAAAUUAAUACUAAUAAUACAGACAAAGAUGUGCUAAAUUGUUUUCAACAUAGUUAUUCCCAUUUUACAGGGGUGUAGUAUUGAACUGAAUUUACUCCAUUAAGACAAAUACAGCUAACUACAGCAAUAGGCCACUUUGUGCCUUGAGGUACACGUGUUCAUUUUGAUCUGAAUUGCAUGCUUCUAACUAAAGAAGAGAUAAAAAAAGAUGCAGAAAGAACAGAAUAUAUUGCUUUGUUUAAAUUUGCAGUUCAUAUAGUACUUGUUUUUCUUGGCAUACCUGAUUUGCUAUAUACUGUAAUAAAUAAAUAAAGGCACUGUUUGUUUGAAGCAUGCUGAGUGAUGACCUGAACUAGCAAGUAGGCCUUGAUGGAAAACUUUUACUCAGUUAGAGAAACAG